rnacentral:lncRNA from 1 species
UGCCACUGAGCAAUCAACACCCACUACCGGGUUCAGAAAUACUUGAAUCUGCACAGAAGGUGCAGGGAGUAAUAUGAGUAUGCCAACUCAGUAAGUAAUAAAAGUAAAUGAAAGCCGAGCAACAAGAAAACACGUAAGCCACGUCAUAACGCUAUAGCAAAAGCAGUACAUUUCCAAAACAGUACAAAAAUCAUUUACUUCAUAAAUCAAGCUCAGUUUCAGUAAAACCUUUCAAAACAACUUUCAAUAGUUUCAAACGAGUGAUAAAAUAGUGAGUAAAAAUGAUAGGAAUGUAAACAGCCCCUCAAGCAAAACAUGUACCAUAAACCACCCCUCGGGCAUAAUAUCAACAGAUCCAGUCCCUCAGGCAACCUCACAGUCACUCGUAAUCAGCCGUUCGGGCAUAACAUGAAUCAAGAACCGCCCCUCGGACAAAACAUGGAUCAAGAACUGCCCCUCAGGCAACAAUGUGAAACAACAACCCUUUGGGCUACAUCAUAUCAUGCAUACUGGGUACCCGCGCUCACCGGGGGUGUACAGACUCCGGGAGGGGCCCUUUACGGGCCAAGCGCAAUAACAAUCCAUCUCGUGGCAUAAUCAAAUAGUCUCUCGUCCUUAUAUCAAGCCACCUCGUGGCAUAACAAAUCGGGCCCUUAACCUCAUAAUCAUAAAUCAGUACCACACUGCUACGGUGCGCCGCCUAAUCCCAUAAUAUCCUCACAAUAAAGGCUUUGGGCCUCACUCAGUCAAAAAUCUCUAAUACAACUCGGGCAAAAGUAAAAUAUGAUGCUCAAUCCAAAAUAUCAUUUAAAAUAUCAAAACGGAGUAAAUAUGGUUGAGUUAUAAAAAAAUAGUAGAAUAUAGCAUGAUUGAGUAUAAAUAUGAAGUCAAAACAGUGAGGGAUAGUAGUAAAAAUCACCCAAAGGGUCAAAAAAAGUUAGCACGAAGCCCAAAUACGGCAUUAAGCCAAAACAUGGUAAUAAUUUCCAAAACACAAUGAUAUCAAACUUUUUUCAAUCAAAUACGUGACAUUACAGUUGUCACGACCCAAACCGAUGGGCCGCGACGAGCGCCCUGUACCUUACUCAACUGAGUACCAAUGUAACGUAUGUUUCUUAUUACAUCAUCAUAUACACAUGACAUACUGGCCUAAUAGGCCAACAUGUUCCUUUAUAAACUUAAAACAUAGGCCGACAAGGCCGUACAAUUUUUUAUGUACACGACAUAUGCGUCUAAGAGUACAUAAAUAUCAUAAAGGUUGGGACAGAGUCCCGCCAUACCAAACAAUAUGUGUCAAAGUCAUACUAACCAAACUAGCAACCCCGAAGCAAAUGGAGCGCACCAACAUCCUCCGCUGAGCUGAUAGCCUGCUUGGAGGACUCUCCACCUGUCCAUCGGGGCCUAUGGGCCUAAAACGCAGCGUCACCAAGCAAAAGGGACGUCAAUACUAAUAAUGUACCGAGUAUGUAAGGCACAUAAAUAAGUACAUAAGAGACAUGGAAGAAAUAUAGAGUACAUGACUCAACCUGUAAGUAUGAAUAACUUUGUAAAUCAUAAAUUACUUUUAGCGUCAUGCAUAUGCGUAUGAAUGUCAUGUCAUGCAUAGGUACAUGUUUCAUAACAUCAUCAGCCUCUAAGGGCAUCCUAUCAUAUCAUAUAGGCCACUAUGGGCAAAAUCUUCAUCUUAUACCAGCUGAUCAAGUGGUGGUGCGUAUAUAACGCCAUAAGCUUUCCCAUAUCCCAUACACACACACACACAUACACACAUAUAUAUAUAUAUAGAUACACGUAUAUAUAUAUAUACACGUAUAUAACACCAUUUUAAUCAUAUUUCAGCAAUGUGGGCAACAUCAUCAUCAUAUACUAGCUGAUCAGGUGGUGGUGCGUAUAUAAUGUCGUAACCUUUUUCCAUAUCCCAUAUACAUAUAUUUACAUAUAUACGCGUAUAUAACGCCAUCUGGUCAUGGGUCAAUACACAUAUAUGAAAUACAUAAAAAAUGCAUAAUAAUCUCAAUAUUUCUUCUGUAUAAAUUUUUCCAACAGCGUAUUAUUCUGUGACCUAUGAGCAGAAUAUAAUAAUAUUUUUCAUGGGGAAUCAAGAAUAUAGACACCCUUGCUAUUUCUAUGAAUAAAGUAAUUUAUGGAAACUGUGUGUUUGCUCGUUUCUUCAGUAUAAUAUGGACCAUACCAAAAGAAAGAAGGGAGGUCCUUAACAUACCUGUUCCUGGAAUUAUUUGAACUGAAUGAAGCUUCUGCUUUCGUGAAAUAUGUUAAACGAAAUUCUUACUGAAUCCCUUGAAAUUGAGAGGAAAACGUUUAUGGUUCUUUGAGUUUUAGAAGAAUAACGUUUAGAUUCCUUAUGAUUGACAUUGUAUUUGAAUGUUGGAGAUAAUGAUCUGCUUUUAACGUCUUUGGUUUGAAUCCAAAGACAGAAUGUUGUUUCCUAAUGAAUGGCUUACUAAGUUUCUAAAAAAAUGAUCAAAAGUCUUGUUUAAGAC